ACUAUGCUCAGUCGUAAACUUUAAAUUACAUCAAACUCGCCCGGGAACUACGAGCCAAGCUUAAAACCCAAAGGACUUGACGGUACCCUAUAUCCACCUAGAGGAGCCUGUCCUAUAAUCGAUAAUCCACGUUUAACCUCACCAUUUUUAGCUUAUUCAGUCAGUAUACUUCCGUCGUCAGCCUACCACUUGAGCGUUAGUGGGCUUAAUGUUUAUUCAACAAUACGUCAGGUCAAGGUGCAGCUAAUAAAAUGGAAAGAGAUGGGCUACAUUUUCUAAUCUAGAGCACACGAAAGACUACUAAUGAAAGCUAGUCGGAAGGCGGAUUUAGUAGUAAAUAGGAACCAACAAGUCCUUUUUAAUUCGGCCCUGGGGUGUGUACACACCGCCCGUCACCCUCCUCUUAUGCCAAAAAUAGUUAUUAACAAAAUUUAGCUUAUCAGAUGAGGUAAGUCGUAACACGGUAAG
rnacentral:rRNA from 1 species